GACGAACGCUGGCGGCGUGCUUAACACAUGCAAGUCGAACGAAGAGCGAUGGAAGCUUGCUUCUAUCAAUCUUAGUGGCGAACGGGUGAGUAACGCGUAAUCAACCUGCCCUUCAGAGGGGGACAACAGUUGGAAACGACUGCUAAUACCGCAUACGAUCUAAACUCGGCAUCGAGGAUAGAUGAAAGGUGGCCUCUACAUGUAAGCUAUCACUGAAGGAGGGGAUUGCGUCUGAUUAGCUAGUUGGAGGGGUAACGGCCCACCAAGGCGAUGAUCAGUAGCCGGUCUGAGAGGAUGAACGGCCACAUUGGGACUGAGACACGGCCCAGACUCCUACGGGAGGCAGCAGUGGGGAAUCUUCCGCAAUGGACGAAAGUCUGACGGAGCAACGCCGCGUGAGUGAUGACGGCCUUCGGGUUGUAAAGCUCUGUUAAUCGGGACGAAAGGCCUUCUUGCGAAUAGUGAGAAGGAUUGACGGUACCGGAAUAGAAAGCCACGGCUA
rnacentral:rRNA from 1 species